rnacentral:rRNA from 1 species
UUGUGAACGCGAAGAACCUUACCAGGUCUUGACAUCCUCUGACAAUCCUAGAGAUAGGACGUCCCCUUCGGGGGCAGAGUGACAGGUGGUGCAUGGUUGUCGUCAGCUCGUGUCGUGAGAUGUUGGGUUAAGUCCCGCAACGAGCGCAACCCUUGAUCUUAGUUGCCAGCAUUCAGUUGGGCACUCUAAGGUGACUGCCGGUGACAAACCGGAGGAAGGUGGGGAUGACGUCAAAUCAUCAUGCCCCUUAUGACCUGGGCUACACACGUGCUACAAUGGACAGAACAAAGGGCAGCGAAACCGCGAGGUUAAGCCAAUCCCACAAAUCUGUUCUCAGUUCGGAUCGCAGUCUGCAACUCGACUGCGUGAAGCUGGAAUCGGUAGUAAUCGCGGAUCAGCAUGCCGCGGUGAAUACGUUUCCCGGGUCUUGUACACACGCAAAA